CUACGUGCCAGCAGCCGCGGUAAUACGUAGGUGGCAAGCGUUGUCCGGAAUUAUUGGGCGUAAAGCGCGCGCAGGCGGAUUGGUCAGCCUGUCUUAAAAGUUCGGGGCUUAACCCCGUGAUGGGAUGGAAACUGCCAAUCUAGAGUAUCGGAGAGGAAAGUGGAAUUCCUAGUGUAGCGGUGAAAUGCGUAGAUAUUAGGAAGAACACCAGUGGCGAAGGCGACUUUCUGGACGAAAACUGACGCUGAGGCGCGAAAGCCAGGGGAGCGAACGGGAUUAGAUACCCCGGUAGUCCACGCUGUAAACGUUGGGCACUAGGUGUGGGGGCCACCCGUGGUUUCUGCGCCGUAGCUAACGCUUUAAGUGCCCCGCCUGGGGAGUACGGCCGCAAGGCUAAAACUCAAAGGAAUUGACGGGGGCCCGCACAAGCAGCGGAGCAUGUGGUUUAAUUCGAAGCAACGCGAAGAACCUUACCAGGGCU
rnacentral:rRNA from 1 species